rnacentral:misc_RNA from 1 species
AACAUCGCGCACCUGCGGGAACCUGCGGAGGGAUCAUUACAGAGUGUAAAAACUCCCAAAACCCAUGUGAACAUACCUUUUUGUUGCUUCGGCGGGAUCGCCCCGGGCGCCUUGUGUGCCCCGGAGUCAGGCGCCCGCCGGGGGACCCAAACUCUUGUUUUUAACGAGUAUCUUCUGAGUAACGUUUUUAAAUAAAUAAAAACUUUCAACAACGGAUCU